rnacentral:rRNA from 1 species
AGCUUAGAGAGCUUGCUUUUUAAGCUUAGUGGCGGACGGGUGAGUAACACGUGAGCAACCUGCCUUUCAGAGGGGGAUAACGGCUGGAAACGGUCGCUAAUACCGCAUAAGCGCACAGGAUUGCAUGAUCUGGUGUGAAAAACUCCGGUGGUAUAAGAUGGACCCGCGUCUGAUUAGCUGGUUGGUGAGGUAACGGCCCACCAAGUCAACGAUCAGUAGCCGGCCUGAGAGGGUGAACGGCCACAUUGGGACUGAGACACGGCCCAAACUCC